GGAACAAAGGGGGUAAAGGCAAUUACUUUUAGAGGGGGGGAGAGAAGGAAAAAGGAAGAGGAUGCGAAUGGAGGGCCGUGCAACAGCUUGCUCAGUGACACGGCAUUCUGGAACGAGCAUUCUGGAACCAGAAUCCUCCUUCGGGGCGGGGAGGCACGCCACCUCCAGAUCUUUCUGGAGCCAUGAUGGGGUUACCUCCUGAUAAACUGGUCCUAAAUGGAAACUCGAAUCAGGAGAGUAUCCUGCUGUUGUAAAUCAAUAGCCCAGGAGAAGAUCAAAAUCCCAAAUUUGAAGUCUGGUUUCCACUGAAUGCUUGUUGCUUUUGUACCAUCCUCAAUUCAAAAAAAUCGUAAGUCGAACGGUGGUUAAGUCAGGGACCAUCUGGAAUGCGUUGAGUAUUGGCCCGAUUGACAACUUGGGGGAAGCGGGUCCAGAGGGGUCGUUUGGUUCAUUGACAGCGCUGGAGGUUUGCCUGACCCCAAUGGUCAUGUUCUUAAUCUUAUAAUAUUGCCUGCGUUUUUUAUUGUAGGGUGAUUGCCUCAUUUGGCACAUUACGACUUUGUAGGGUACAGGAAUACCUGACAUUGCCACAGCCCUGUGAUUUAGGUAUUCCCACCAUUUUACAAGGAGGAAACAAGAUCACAGAAGUUGCACCUUGCACAAGCAUAUAAAUAUUGCAAGGGAAACUUGGGUGGUCCAUUCACUUACUACCAGAGGUGAUCUUGGGCAGGUCAUAAAACUCUUGGAGGCUUGUCUCAUUAUAAAUUGGUGACCCCCCCCCAAAAAAAAAUAAAAUAAAAUAAAAAAUAAAAAUAAAUUGGUGACCCAUUCAUUUAGCAUUCAUUGGACACUACUGAACAUGGACCACUGGUCACUAGAUGAAAAUUACCUUGUCCAUAAUGAGUGUAUGGGAAAUCUGCAUCUUCCUCUUAAUGUUGCUGUGAAUCUAAAACUGCUCUAAAAAUAGUCUUAAAAAAAAACCCCAAAAACCAAAAACAGCCUCUGCCCUAAAGAAGUUCUAAUAGUAACUCUGCCACAGUGGUGACGAUUAGCUUUUCCACCUAAUGAGUGCUCAUAAUAGUGAUACUUAAAACCACAGUGGUGGGAUGCCCGUGUGGCUUGGUCGGUUAAGCGUCCGACUUCGGCUCAGGUCAUGAUCUCAAGACUAGGAAGUUCCAGCCCCACAUCGGGCUCUGUGCUGACAGCUCAGAGCCCGGAGCCUGCUUCAGGUUCUGUGUCUCCCUCUCUCUCUACCCCUCCCCCAGUCGUGCUCUGUCUCUCUCUCAAAAAUAAACAAACAUUAAAAAAAAAAAAAAUCACAGUGGAGACCACAUAUGGUAUGAUCCUGAUUAUAGGAAAUGUCCAGAAUAGGCAAAUCUGUAGAGACAGAAAAUAUAUUAGUGGUUGCUUACAGCUAGGGGUAGGGGAAAUGGGGAGUUGACAGCUAAUGGGUGUAGGCGAUGAAAACGUUCUAAAAUUAAUUGUGAUGGUUGCACAAAUCUGUGAAUGUGCUGAAAAUCAUUGAAUUGUACCCUUGAAAUGGGCGAAUGGUAUGGUUAUGUGAGUUCCAUGUCAAUAAAGCUGUUACCUAAAUAAAUAAAUAAAUAAAUAAAUAAAUAAAUAAAAGGCUUUUGAGAUAAGGUGGUGGGGUGCUGGGGUUUAACUGUUCUGGAGGAGAAUCCAAAAAAACACCAAGGGAUCUGAUGCUUGAGCUGAGUGGCCUUUAAGAAAUACGUAUACUAUUUAUAAUCUACAGAAAAGCAUAAGAUAAAAAAUAAAAUCACUCUAACACUAUCACCAAAACAUCACUAUUUUUAUCUCUUUAUUUGAAAUUAUUUUAUAAAAUUACAUACGGUGAAUAUAUAUAUGUGUGUGUGUGUCUUCUUCACUUACUAUAUAUCUGAUUUAAUGAAAUUGGGAAGGAGAGCAUUUGAAAUCAUGGCUUUUCAUGGUUUUAUAUUAUAACAUAGCCUAUUUUAUGGGUAAACCAUAAUUUAUUUUCUCUCUCCCUGUUGUUGGCUGUAUUGUUUCUAAUUUUAGAUGUGACAAUACUAUUGUGAAUAUGCUUUCAUUCAUUUGUCAAUAGCUCUGUACUGAGACCCUUCUGUGUGCUGGGGGAGGAAUGGGAAGAAGAUUGAUCAGGGGGCCACUGACCCCUCAGUCAUCCUUUGUUGAAGCAGUUCUCAGAAGACUCAUAACUAGUAACCAUGUUAACUGAAAAACAGGGCAGAGAGCUGGAGGAUAAACAGCACAACGUCCUCACAUAAAGAAGCAACCCUCCCGAUCAUACGGAAUUUCAAGGAGGUUACGGCGUUUUUUGUUUGUUUUUUUU